AGGAUAAUUAACCCAAAAUUGAAAAUUCUCUCACUGUUUACUCCACUUGUGUGACAUUUAAGAUAUAAAAAAGGUCACCAAAACUUUCUGGUAUAACAAACAUUGUCCAAAUGAUCAAAUUUUGUGUUCCACAGAAGAAAGCAAGCAUAUAGGUUUAGAACAACUUGAUGGAAAAUGCAAUUUUUUGGGGGUUAAAGCUAUUCCUUUACUAUGCACUGUGCUAUAUAUAAAGCAAAUGUAUUCUAACACCUUCCCUCUGAAAGUCAGUUCUGUGUUCUGUCUAUCAUAACACCUAUGUUUGGUUCCUACCUUUGCACUCUAUCACCCUGAAACAAGUCUGUUUGCAAAACCCUGGAGUAGAGUGUUGCAGACAGCACGUUCUGGGUUUUACUGGAACACUGACUUCACAAGCUCAGAUGAGGUUAGGGAAAAGCGAUCCCUUAGAACCACCGCCGCGCUGCAAUCCAAACCUCACUCCUCUUGUACUGCUGGUAAACACAAAUAGCCUUGUGUUUUUAUGUGCCAAGGGCGUUUGCUUGAAUAGUUCGGCAUACAAAAUCCCAGCCAAAGCCCUGUGGGUGCGCCCUGCUCAUAAACUCCGCUGUGUGUCCAGAGGUGUUUACAUGGUCAGUAUUGGAGGACACUGUGGGCAGUUUUGUUGGUAAAGCUGAUGACGAUGUCCGACUUCAAAGCACAUCUCUGGAAAGUCUGUUUUUCGGAGGUAUGUGAAGGCACUGAGUGGUUUGCAAGGGUUUCUGGGUUUUUCUUCCAGAGGAAAUGGCCAUACUGUGCUGGGAUGUGUCUUUCAGGUGGCUUGUAUGAGUGGCGGUGAGGCCUUCUCUACCUCUCCCAUGAGUAUUUUUCUGCUUGCAAGCCGAGAGGCCCCAACACAGAAAACAUAUUAGACAGGCAAGUCCCAAAGUAUCCCCCCCCGCUUCUCUUCCUCUCUCUUUCAUUUCUAGCCUCUUUUACACCAUCGGUCUCUGUCUGUCUUCUCUCUUGAGAGUUAUUUAUACAAGGUGUGAUGUUAUUGGGGCUGUUACCCGAGCCACCCCGACACACUCCUUUAAAAACACAAAAAGUGAUAGAGAUGCAGCACUUUUUGUCGUCACUUAGAGGCUGACCUUUGACCCGUGCUCAGAACCGACUGUUUUCCACACUAAUGCAUCCCUGCUUUUAAUAUGGCUUGUUAAAAUGCCCUCUUUUUUACUUUCCCCCCAUAUUUGUACACCCCUUUUCCUCCUCUGCAGAAAGAGGUAUCAGCCAACACCUGACAUUGCCUUUGCAGAACCAGCUACAGGAAAGAGAGGAGGUCACACGCUCAUCAGAUUCUGACCUCGCAGAGACGCUGAGACAAUCCAGACCUGUUAGGGAUGAAGAAGGAGAAAGUCAUUUCCUUCUCUUACAGAACCAAAAAAAAAAAAAAUAAUAUCGCAGAGACGCUGAGACAAUCCAGACCUGUUAGGGAUGAAGAAG
rnacentral:lncRNA from 1 species